rnacentral:rRNA from 1 species
GAUGAACGCUGGCGGCGUGCCUAAUACAUGCAAGUCGAGCGAACAGACGAGGAGCUUGCUCCUCUGACGUUAGCGGCGGACGGGUGAGUAACACGUGGAUAACCUACCUAUAAGACUGGGAUAACUUCGGGAAACCGGAUCUAAUACCGGAUAAUAUAUUGAACCGCAUGGUUCAAUAGUGAAAGACGGUUUUGCUGUCACUUAUAGAUGUUUCCGCGCCGCAUUAGCUAGUUGGUAAGGUAACGGCUUACCAAGGCGACGAUGCGUAGCCGAUCUGAGAGGGUGAUCGGCCACACUGGAACUGAGACACGGUCCAGACUCCUACGGGAGGCAGCAGUAGGGAAUCUUCCGCAAUGAGCGAAAGCCUGACGGAGCAACGCCGCGUGAGUGAUGAAGGUCUUCGGAUCGUAAAACUCUGUUAUUAGGGAAGAACAAAUGUGUAAGUAACUAUGCACGUCUUGACGGUACCUAAUCAGAAAGCCACGGCUAACUACGUG